rnacentral:rRNA from 1 species
UACGUAGGGUGCAAGCGUUGUCCGGAAUUAUUGGGCGUAAAGAGCUCGUAGGCGGUCUGUCGCGUCUGCUGUGAAAACUCAGGGCUUAACCCUGAGCUUGCAGUGGGUACGGGCAGACUAGAGUGCGGUAGGGGAGACUGGAAUUCCUGGUGUAGCGGUGAAAUGCGCAGAUAUCAGGAGGAACACCGAUGGCGAAGGCAGGUCUCUGGGCAUUAACUGACGCUGGAGGAG